rnacentral:rRNA from 1 species
CCUACGGGUGGCUGCAGUGGGGAAUAUUGCACAAUGGGGGAAACCCUGAUGCAGCGACGCCGCGUGAGUGAAGAAGUAUCUCGGUAUGUAAAGCUCUAUCAGCAGGGAAGAAAAUGACGGUACCUGACUAAGAAGCCCCGGCUAACUACGUGCCAGCAGCCGCGGUAAUACGUAGGGGGCACGCGUUAUCCGGAUUUACUGGGUGUAAAGGUAGCGGAGUCGGUGUUGCAAGUCCGGAGUGAAAGCCCAUGGUUUAACCAUGGUACUGCACUGGAAACUGUGGGGCUUGAGUGCAGGAGGGGAAGGCGGAAUUCCUAGUGUAGCGGUGAAAUGCGUAGAUAUUAGGAGGAACACCAGCGGCGAAGGCGGCCUGCUGGACUGUAACUGACGUUGAGGCUCGAAAGCGUGGGGAGCAAACAGGAUUAGAUACCCGAGUAGUC